CGGCAGCAGCUGAAGGUGAAAGAGCUGUGUGGAUGCCUUUAAAGGUAUUUUCUCAGCCUGUAUGCGAGUUUGGGACAUAAUAUCCCCAAAGAAGACGCAGAGCAGGAGGAAGAAGACGAGGAGAUGGCAGCUUCUCAGGGACAGUUGACAUUCCGGGAUGUGGCCAUAGACUUCACUCAAGAGGAGUGGGAAUGCCUGGACCUCGGUCAGCGGGCAUUUACACAGACGCGAUGUUAGAGAACUACGGGAACCUGGGCUCCUUGGGACUUGUAGUCUCUGGGCUGAAUCUGGUCACCUUUCUGGAGCAACUGCACGAUCCCAGGAGUAUAAGGAGAGCGGAGACAGCAGCCAUAUACCCAGCUAUCUCUCCAUAAGACACCAGGAUUUGAUGCCAAAGAAACCAAGGAUAGAAGAUUUGUUUCCAGAAGCAAACCUAGAAAUAUAUGAAAGAUUUCACCUCAGAAACUUUAAUUUAAUAAAACACUGGGAAUAUACAAGGGCAUAUAAAGACAGAGA